UACGAAGGGGGCUAGCGUUGUUCGGAUUUACUGGGCGUAAAGCGCACGUAGGCGGAUCGUUAAGUCGGGGUGAAAUCCUGGAGCUCAACUCCAGAACUGCCUUCGAUACUGGCGAUCUUGAGUCCGGAAGAGGUGAGUGGAACUGCGAGUGUAGAGGUGAAAUUCGUAGAUAUUCGCAAGAACACCAGUGGCGAAGGCGCCAACUGGACCAUUACUGACGCUGAGGCGCGAAAGCGUGGGGAGCAAACAGG
rnacentral:rRNA from 1 species